AGAGUUUGAUCCUGGCUCAGGAUGAACGCUGGCGGCGUGCUUAACACAUGCAAGUCGAACGGUGAACUUGGGAGCUUGCUCUCGGGGGAUCAGUGGCGAACGGGUGAGUAACACGUGAGUAACCUGCCCUUGACUCUGGGAUAAGCACUGGAAACGGUGUCUAAUACCGGAUACGAGCUUCAGCCGCAUGGCUAGGAGCUGGAAAGAACUUUGGUCAAGGAUGGACUCGCGGCCUAUCAGCUAGUUGGUGAGGUAAUGGCUCACCAAGGCGACGACGGGUAGCCGGCCUGAGAGGGUGACCGGCCACACUGGGACUGAGACACGGCCCAGACUCCUACGGGAGGCAGCAGUGGGGAAUAUUGCACAAUGGGCGAAAGCCUGAUGCAGCAACGCCGCGUGAGGGACGACGGCCUUCGGGUUGUAAACCUCUUUUAGUAGGGAAGAAGCGAAAGUGACGGUACCUGCAGAAAAAGCACCGGCUAACUACGUGCCAGCAGCCGCGGUAAUACGUAGGGUGCAAGCGUUAUCCGGAAUUAUUGGGCGUAAAGAGCUCGUAGGCGGUUUGUCGCGUCUGCUGUGAAAACUGGAGGCUCAACCUCCAGCCUGCAGUGGGUACGGGCAGACUAGAGUGCGGUAGGGGAGAUUGGAAUUCCUGGUGUAGCGGUGGAAUGCGCAGAUAUCAGGAGGAACACCGAUGGCGAAGGCAGAUCUCUGGGCCGUAACUGACGCUGAGGAGCGAAAGCAUGGGGAGCGAACAGGAUUAGAUACCCUAGUAGUCC
rnacentral:rRNA from 1 species